UUGUGUCCUUGCUUUGGAUACAAAGCCUUUAAACAGUCUAUAUCAUAUUGUGACAGUUACUAAACUGGGACUUUUCUUUUAUGCCUUUGAUAAGUUCCUGGAGAGUCCCCUACAUCUGAAAAAGCAGCUCCUCCUAUCACCACACAGGAGUCCAUUACUAUAUCUUUUCCAUCCGCCACCCAAGAGCUCAUUACAACUGG